UGGGGAAUAUUGCACAAUGGGCGCAAGCCUGAUGCAGCCAUGCUGCGUGUGUGAAGAAGGCCUUCGGGUUGUAAAGCACUUUCAGCGGGGAGGAAGGCGAUAAGGUUAAUAACCUUGUCGAUUGACGUUACCCGCAGAAGAAGCACCGGCUAACUCCGUGCCAGCAGCCGCGGUAAUACGGAGGGUGCAAGCGUUAAUCGGAAUUACUGGGCGUAAAGCGCACGCAGGCGGUCUGUCAAGUCGGAUGUGAAAUCCCCGGGCUCAACCUGGGAACUGCAUUCGAAACUGGCAGGCUAGAGUCUUGUAGAGGGGGGUAGAAUUCCAGGUGUAGCGGUGAAAUGCGUAGAGAUCUGGAGGAAUACCGGUGGCGAAGGCGGCCCCCUGGACAAAGACUGACGCUCAGGUGCGAAAGCGUGGGGAGCAAACAGG
rnacentral:rRNA from 1 species